rnacentral:rRNA from 1 species
AACGAACGCUGGCGGCAGGCCUAACACAUGCAGGUCGAGCGAGGUAGCAAUACCUAGCGGCGGACGGGUGAGUAACGCGUGGGAACGUGCCCCUUGGUACGGAAUAGCCCCGGGAAACUGGGAGUAAUACCGUAUGAGCUCUACGGAGGAAAGAUUUAUCGCCAAGGGAUCGGCCCGCGUUGGAUUAGGUAGUUGGUGGGGUAAUGGCCGACCAAGCCGACGAUCCAUAGCUGGUUUGAGAGGAUGAUCAGCCACACUGGGACUGAGACACGGCGCAGACUAGUACGGGAGGCAGCAGUGGGGAAUCUGAGACAAUGGGCGAAAGCAUGAUCUAGCCAGGCCGCGAGAGCGAUGAAGGCCUUAGGGUUGAAAAGCUCUUUCAGCUGGGAAGAUAAUGACUGUACCAGCAGAAGAAGCCCCGGCUAACUCCGUGCCAGCCGCCGCCGUAA